UUUUACACUGAAACACAAAAAAUUGCAAGAACAACGACGUGAACUGGGUAAACCCGGAGAUAAUCUCUUGGUUGUUUAGCUAGGGAGUAAAAUAGAGUGGUCUAAGAUAGCUGACGCUGUCAGAAAGUAACUUGCAUCUAAAUUAAGUGAUACAAACAGGAAGAGCAGAAGAAACCUGGUGGCGGUUCCUUCUUCACUGACCCCAGCAGAAACACGGGGAAAGCGGAUCAUGAAGAUUUCAACUUCCCUCACUUACCCACGUCUACACACUUAACAUGCUUAGACAAAUUCAGACAGUAAGACUGUGUUAGUGGACUUGUAGACUGAAGAAGCUUGAUUUAAAGGACAUUUUAUGGACACAAAGAGUUUGAGGCCAGCCUGGAAAGCCAAGUGAUAAAAUUUGGCAUCAUCUGUGACCGGUCCACCCCCGUAGCUGACCACAAGACAACAGCUAUUGUGGUGGAGUGGAGAAUGAAAGUCCUGGAGUGAAAGCAUAUCCCAAAGUGCUUUGUUUUACUUAUGAAACUUUUUAAGUUUUUUAGAAGCUCUUUCUUUACCUCGAUGGACUGAAAGCCAGUGCAAAAGUAAUUUCUUAAGAACAGUGUUUUCUAAAGAUUCCACUUGUGUCAGAGCAAUUUCCGAUAUUAUUCAGAUUACACUGUUUUGUAAUUGGAUGUCAACUAAAGAGGAUACAAAAUUGAGAUUGCUUCUCUGUCAAGUUGCCAAAAUAAAGAUGAUGUUUAAAGAAAUACA